rnacentral:rRNA from 1 species
CACGAAGUUAGCCGGUGCUUAUUCUUUGGGUACCGUCAUCCCCGCCGGGUAUUAGCCAGCAGGAUUUCUUCCCCAACAAAAGGGCUUUACAACCCGAAGGCCUUCUUCACCCACGCGGCAUGGCUGGAUCAGGCUUUCGCCCAUUGUCCAAUAUUCCCCACUGCUGCCUCCCGUAGGAGUCUGGGCCGUGUCUCAGUCCCAGUGUGGCUGAUCAUCCUCUCAGACCAGCUACCGAUCGUCGCCUUGGUGGGCCUUUACCCCGCCAACUAGCUAAUCGGACAUCGGCUCAUUCCAUCGCGUGAGGCCUUGCGGUCCCCCACUUUCACCCUUAGGUCGUAUGCGGUAUUAGCGUAAGUUUCCCUACGUUAUCCCCCACGACGGAGUAGAUUCCGAUGUGUUCCUCACCCGUCCGCCACUCGCCGGCAUAGGAAGCAAGCUUCCUACCCGCUGCCGUUCGACUUGCAUGUGUUAGGCCUGCCGCCAGCGUUCACUCUGAGCCAGGAUCAAACUCU